GUAAGUAGAACUUUUAUUAUGGUUGUGGAUUUCUUGAGGAAAUGAGUUGGUAAUUGUGUGAGAAUGUUUGUGGCAGCAAAGGUCCUCCAAGAUUUGAAAGAAAUAGAUGCAUGCAUGUGGGUUGAUCUAAGAAGUAUGGUGAUUUUGAGCAAGACAAGUAAUGGCAAUGGUAACCAAGGAUGUGAGGAGAUUGUGAACUAUAUGUGGGAUCCAAGCUAAAGACCAAAAGAUAGUGAUUGGCCUAGCAUGCAAUCAUUGGCACUUAUGGUCCACCACAGAUAGGUAAAGGCAUCUCAUAGCACUUUAUUCGGAGUCGCUCCACUGCUAGUGGUCGAGUCAUUCGUAGUGCAUUUGUUUCUGUAAAUAAACACUAGUCUCGAUACAUUUAGAUGU